GGACAGGUGUCAUUCAACGUUGGGUGAAGGGUUUUUUUAUGAAAGGAAAAAAAUGUCUCUGUCUUUCUCUCUCUUCGUCGACUCUUUCUCUCAUUUUCGUUUCUCUCCGAUUGCACAAAGGGAAUAGAUUUCUCUCAAAUCGGAAUCAAUCGGAGACAAAUCGGAGGGGUUUAUUCACCAAUUUCAUCAAUUCAUCGAAGUCUCCGAUGGCAAAAUCUAUCCAAUACGUCUCGGCGAUUUCGAGUUGUGUAGGUUGUUGGAAGUCCCAAUCGAAGGUUUACUCAUCAAGAAAGAGAGAUUUGGGUUUGGUGUUAAAAAUCGCAUGAAUGUUGGGGAGAGAACUAAGCCAAGUUCUGAAUGUGCAUAGAGAAGAUAUGAUAAUGACUCAGUUUCGCCAGGGCUAUGAGUAUUGCUAAUAGGUCUUCUGCAACAAGUACUACUCAGCGGAGCGAUGUUGUGUUUGACUUUCUAUAAUGUGUUCAAUGUGUUUUUGCUGUAGAAGACACAAAAUCUCUGUCUUGUAUAAGCCAAGUAUAAGCGGGUGAAGAGCCUGUAUCAUCAUCACCUUUGUCAUCUCCAGCUCUGUUGGGUAGUGGAAAAGAAGAAGAGCAGAAGAUUAUCCCAAAGCGUCAGAAAGUUCAGGUUGUCCUUAAGUUCAUAAAGCAGGUGUCUAGAACAGUUUUACUUUUCAGAUGAUCUUGUUCUUACAAUCUUUAAACAAGCCUUUGUCCAAGCGUUCAUAUUUUUUUCACACCAAUUUCUUCUUCUCA